GACGAACGCUGGCGGCGUGCCUAAUACAUGCAAGUAGAACGCUGAAGAGAGGAGCUUACUCUUCUUGGAUGAGUUGCGAACGGGUGAGUAACGCGUAGGUAACCUGCCUUGUAGCGGGGGAUAACUAUUGGAAACGAUAGCUAAUACCGCAUAACAAUGGAUGACACAUGUCAUUUAUUUGAAAGGGGCAAUUGCUCCACUACAAGAUGGACCUGCGUUGUAUUAGCUAGUAGGUGAGGUAAUGGCUCACCUAGGCGACGAUACAUAGCCGACCUGAGAGGGUGAUCGGCCACACUGGGACUGAGACACGGCCCAGACUCCUACGGGAGGCAGCAGUAGGGAAUCUUCGGCAAUAGGGGCAACCCUGACCGAGCAACGCCGCGUGAGUGAAGAAGGUUUUCGGAUCGUAAAGCUCUGUUGUAUGUCAAGAACGGGUGUGAGAGUGGAAAGUUCACACUGUGACGGUAGCUUACCAGAAAGGGACGGCUAACUACGUG
rnacentral:rRNA from 1 species